GGGAAUGUGACUCAGUGGUAGAGUGCUUGCCUAGCAUGCAUGAAGCCCUGGGUUCGAUUUCUUAGUACCA
rfam:Dipodomys ordii contig_54608, whole genome shotgun sequence.